GACGAACGCUGGCGGCGUGCUUAACACAUGCCAGUCGAACGGAAAGGCCCUGCUUGCAGGGUCCUCGAGUGGCGAACGGGUGAGUAACACGUGGGUGAUCUGCCCUGCACUUCGGGAUAAGCCUGGGAAACUGGGUCUAAUACCGGAUAGGAGCCAUUUUUAGUGUGAUGGUUGGAAAGUUUUUUCGGUGUAGGAUGAGCUCGCGGCCUAUCAGCUUGUUGGUGGGGUAAUGGCCUACCAAGGCGGCGACGGGUAGCCGGCCUGAGAGGGUGGACGGCCACACUGGGACUGAGAUACGGCCCAGACUCCGACGGGAGGCAGCAGUGGGGAAUAUUGCACAAUCGGCGCAAGCCUGAUGCAGCGACGCCGCGUGGGGGAUGACGGCCUUCGGGUUGUAAACUCCUUUCGCUAGGGACGAAGCUUUUUGUGACGGUACCUAGAUAAGAAGCACCGGCUAACUACGUG
rnacentral:rRNA from 1 species